rnacentral:hammerhead_ribozyme from 1 species
AUCCAGGUGACGAGUCCCAAAUAGGACGAAACGCUAGUCCUGGAU